CUAAGUAGUGGUAUAUCUUUUCCUUUCGAAUGAUACGACAUAGUUCAAAUAAAGUAAUACUACCAUCUUUCCCAUAUCUUCGUCGAAACUUUCACAAGAAAAGGAAGGUUUUAGCUCAAGCGGAACUCUUUUAAUACUUUUCUUCGACCUUCUCGAUAGAGAUCCUAUUCCACCAACUAUAUUUUAUACGAAAUCUCUAUUGUCAAAUCUAAUUCUGAAUCCAAAUGUAAAACUGGAGUUUUCUUUGAAAACCUGACUGACGAUUAACUGCAUGUUGUCACGAAGAUAUUUAUAGAGAUUCGUGUUAAGAAAUCUUACAAGUAAAUACAUCGAUCGUGGCAUCUCUGGUGCAGAAAUAUCUUUCGUAAGAAAAUUCAGUUCAGGGCGUUCCCAUCGACGCUAAGCUCGAGCAUACAGGUGCGAGCUUACAGGUGUUGGCGCUUCUACCUGAUAAGAAGCAUACCCGUGACGUCAGAUCAGCGCUGGUAGAGUAUAUGAGUGGCACCGGAGAGACAUCCACGUCACUCGUUCUUGAACCUCUUCGUUCGUUUGUUCUGCAAAGAGUUGUUUUCUGGUUAUUAUAUUAUCCGUCUCGUUGGUUCGUUGCGCGCCCCUUUCACAGCUUCGUUAUUCCUCUACGUUUUCCUCGCUCGAUGACGUGCAACGAGAAGAAGCUGCGAGCGGAAUGUAUGUUCAUGCGGAAGUCUAGCGUGAUCAUUCAUGAUUUUGGGACUCAGGGGUACCGAUCAGGUUUGAACGUUCGGCAAACGCAUCGGAAUGAAGAAGAAAAGGAAGUGUUAACGACUCAUGGCACGAGCUAACGCACGGAGGUUAUGUUUACCGCGCAAUCAGGUGGCAACGCUAAAGAGGAAGAAGUUACUCGCACCUCCUUGAUAACAAGCAAAGCUGCUACGCUCAUGUUAUAUUCCACCACGGCGACACUUUCUGUCUUUCAGCGUUUUCUUGCUUAAUAUUGUAUAAGAUAUAAAUGCUUUAUGCGAGUCAAAUUUCUUUUUCUAAUGGAAGUAUCAAAUGUUUUAUAUCGUUAAGGACAAUACAAUUUAUGAAAAUCAAAAUCUCUAUAGCUGUAAAGAAUGUUGCUGAUAAAAUGUGAAACUCUUAGGGUUUUAGGUGUCACAAGGAAGAGAUUUAAAUGAAGGAUAACGACAAAAGGCGCGCGCUAUGAAGAGAGCUAUCCAUCGACAGUAUGGUGAUAAUAAACACUGUCAUGGAGUUGCUCUCUUUGUGGACGCAGCUAUGUGCAACGAUUAUCGACGAUAAAAGUGGAACAAAUACACGAUUAAAGAAAUUUAUUUACUUACUUAAUAUAAAGGAAAUUUAAUCGCUUAUUGUCAAAGUAUUAUGGAUAUUCCCUAUACAGUGUGAAAUCUCUUUCUCGAUUAUUUCUUGCGAUAAAUAGAAAUUAAUGUUUUUUUAUCAUUAAGAACGAUGUAAACUGUACAUAAUACAAUAUUUAAUUACCUUUUA